AUGCGUAGCUCAUACCUUUGGAAUGGCAUAUGCCAGCUAAGGCUCGUCACUAACAUGAGGUCUCAAAACGAUCGAUAGUUUGUGGAAUACCUAUUGAGAGUAGGAAAUGGCACCGAGGAAACUAACGAGGAAGGAAACAUCCGGCUCCCAGAAGAUAUAUAUGUUCCUUCGACAGGCGAGGCCGCAGACAUAGAGAAGUUGAUCGACCACGUGUUUCCUUCCCUACACCACAAUAUGGUCAAUCCGAGUUACAUGACGUCUCGAGCAAUCCUAUCCACCAAGAAUGACAACGUCGAUGUAACAUGUGUAUGA
rnacentral:rRNA from 1 species